CUGCGAUUCUGAGCGCGCCAUCCACGCCCACCUGACGACCGCUCGCUACGGUUUGUUAG
rnacentral:sRNA from 1 species